rnacentral:lncRNA from 1 species
UCACAUUCACUUCAAUAACAAACAACUCCUCGCCAGGAUUGAAGUCAUCUCACAUCAAACAACACUGCUGGGAUUUUUUGUUUUUACUUUCUUAACUAAAAUAAGGAUUGAAAUGCAUUAGUUCCACAAUUACUAUGACUCUUUCAUUUUUCUUUUUAACUACUUGAGCUUAACAUCAUAAUAUGGGUAUAGGGAUAUGACCCUCCAAAUAUAUGAAAAAACAUACAUGUAUCUAGCACUUAUACCCAGUCUGACUAACAUAAUUUCCCAUUGCCUUACCAACUAGGUCAUACCCUCGCUUGGCAGGCCCUGAGCUUGAUAUCAGAACUUACCCUAUAUUGUUGCUAAUGCAACUGGCUCCAGAUUAGACAUGACAAAAGAAUAUCAUUAGUAAUCAAAAUAUUAUCAUCCAACUGAAAGUGAAAAAAGAAGCGGGUCCAUUGAGAUGAACGGCAAUGAAACUGACUGCACAACCAAUUUUGAUUCAUGAGAUGCUGAGCAAAUAAUGGUUACAAAGAUCAAAAAAGAGAGCCAAAGUAGUUGGCUCAAGUGCUUGUUUGUGGCAAGCAGGAACAGGGGACAAAUUUGCUAAUAGUUUCCAGUGAACAUAAAUUUCCAAAGAGAAAUCAUCAGCUAGCUUUUGGCACUAGUAAAUCAAAUGAUAGAAUUAAAAUAUCAUGAGCAAUUUUAUUUCUAGUCUUUAGCUCUUUGUCUCUUUUAAUGUUUUUAACAUGAAGAGUUUAAUUGAAAUUAGAUACAUUGAAUGCAUGAUGUUGGCAGUUGCGUUACUUGGACUCAGGUGUAAGUGUUGGAAUUGGGUUGUUUUCCUACAUGAGUAUGUUCAAUUUUUUCUAAGCUUUUCAAUGUAUUUGAAGGGUCAUUAGAGGGUCUUUUCUCCUUAUCCAUGUCUGAAUAUAAGUCGGAAACAGAUACUUUAAGAAAGCUGAAAGUUGAAGUACCAUAGUUUGUGGGUCAUUGAAGGAUUUAUCUCCAUAUCUGAGUUCAAAUAUAAGUUGGAAACAUGAACUCGAAGCAAAAUGAAGGGCUGGAGCAACAUGGAUAUACAGGUCAUUGCAGGGUCUUAUCUCCAUACCUAUGUUCAGAUAUAAGUCAGAAACAAGUACUUCAAGCAAAAUGAAGAGUCAAACAACAUAAAUUAGCAGUAUUUGGUACAUGGCUAGUCAAAACAGGCAGCUCUAGCUCCUAAAAGUUAUGUAAAAGUGAGAAAUUAGAAGAAGGAGAAAAAAAAAAAAAAACCUAACGAAGGAAACUAGAAACCCGAACAAUUAAAAGCCCUCGUUUGGAGGAGUAGUAACAUUGUAAUACACCUUUUAAGUAUGCUAGUUAAUGAUAUCCACUUGUUUGAACCAACUACUUAUCACACCACUUAGGACUUUUUUCCUUAACUCGGGAAUUUUAUGUUUUUCCUUAACUUAUUGAAAUGGUAAAUUCUAAUACAAAAAAUUUUCCUCCCUCAAAUUUUUAUGUUUCCAAGAUUGUUCUUCCUCCAAAAAAUAAAACUACAAUUAUAUUUUUUCCCUCUUUACUCCUAGCAUUAUUUUCAACUAAUAUGUUUUUUUCUUCUUUAAUUUUUUUUAAAAAUUAUAUAAUUUAAAAAAUUUUAUAAAGUAUUUAAAAGAAGUAACAAUAACUUUCAAUUUUUUUCCAAAUAUAUUAUUCCUAUAAAAUUACAUGCCAAAUUUUGUUUGAAUUUUAUUUUAUAAAUAUUUUAUAAAAUCAUUUAACAAUAUUUUUUGAAUUAAAAUUUUUUCAUAGGCACAUAAAAAAAUUAUAAAACUUUAGCAUGUAGUUUUAUAAAAAUAAUAUAUUUGGUAUAUCAUUUCUGAAAAAUAAAAAUUAAGACUAUUUAUAGAAGUACAAUUUAAAUUUUUAUCAAGUCGGGAAAAAAAAUUAAGUUAUUAGGUUUUUUCCCUUCAUUAAGGAUAAAAGUGAUAUUUCAUACACUUGUUCAACAUUUUUCUCUAUCAAACAGUGAACUAUUUUAGUACUGAUGUCAUUACAACUAUUUUAGUACUUAUGAGUUGAAUAAACUUUUCUUCACGUUAUUACACUAACCAGCCAAACGAAACCUAAUUGUUCUCCUUGUACUAUAACAAAAUUUGACCACAAAGGCUUGAAGGCAUGUCUCAACCUUAGAUUCUUUUGAGCUUUUAAGCCAUGUAUCUGGAUUUGGGGCAAUUAGCCUAUUCAUGAUUUUUAGAAGUCCAGCACAAACCGAGCAUGAAAAACCAAAUAGAAAGUCAUUAUGCUCUCAAUUGAUCAAAAACAUGGGUUGUCUCUUGAUCGCUUACCAAAUAGAAAGCCAGAAUCGAUGGCACACUUACUGUUUAUCUACAUUUGCUCGAUCAAUGACAUUACAAGUGUGUGGCAGCAAUUCACGAGUUCUACAAUCUACAGAAGAAGCAAAAGGAUCAUAAGGACAUACCACAGUUCAAUUAGUUGAGGGCCAAUCAUUGCGCAGAAUCAACAUCACUGACCACAGAUCCAACAGCAUUGAUUUAUACUGAUUCACCACUGCACCGCCUGCUUGACACUAUCUAUUUGACUGAUUCUCCUCUGUUUUGGUCGCAAGAAUCCUUUGUUUAGCAAAGAGAGAACCUACAGACCCACCUUUGGUAAGGUUCAGUAAAAAUAUGACCAUAACAAUAUAUCCACCAUGAAUUCACAUUGCAGUAGGGUAUAUGCACUCAGUCUCAAUGAUAAAAUAUAAUAAGUCAACAAGGAAUAAAUGAACCUUUUAGUGUCUUCCAAGCUGUCAGUUUUACCAUGUUUGAGACCGUAAAUUAUCACAACAGUUCGUAUUCUAGCUUCAUGUUGGAUAAGUGAAACAGGAAAGCAUGAAAUUUCACCUGACCCUACACUUGUAGUAUAUUAUCAUUUUUCAACACGGAUGCCUAACAUGCCAUUUUGUUUCUGUCAGACCCAUUUUUCAUUUCCCAAGCAUUUUAUUUUGUCUGUAUGUAAUUGUUCUUAUGCAUGACCAUAUCACACACGACAUAAGACUCUCAGUAAGAAGGACGAAAAGGAAAACUAAAAAGAAGGAAAAUUAUGAAUUAGUUAACCUACUGAACUAGUGGCUGAAAACUUUCAAAUUUGGUUUAAAACCUAGAAUCACUAAAGCUGCAGUAACACACAGUAACUUUAUAGUCUUACAAAGAUGGAUAUGUAGAUAACCAUGCAGGAAUUUCCAUCACCAACUAGAACCAAGUCAUUUUGUAAUUCUUAUGUUACUCAAACUCAGGUGCAAGUCUCAAAUAUGGGAAUGUGUUCAACAUGUAUAUGUUCAACUUUUUGAAAUGUACUUUUAUUGAGAGGGUCAUCUACAUACCAAUGUCCUAAAAUGUAUAGGACAUCUCGGAUGCAGGUACUUCAAGAAAAAUGAAUAAUCAGAGCAUGUAAAAGUAUUCAACAUUGACUGCCCUCUAUUGUUCUUAUCAGCCACAUUCGACUAGUUAAUAUCUUCAACUUAACAUCUCAGUGAUUAAAUAGUUGCUAUAAUAGCAUAAUAAAGAGGAGCUUCAUUAAACUCACAAUUUCUACAUUUCUUGAAAAGUUAAUUAGAUAUUUUUUCCAUCAUGAUAACGGUUACAUCCAUUGCUACUACAUAGCAAUCAAUUUAUUUACUAUCCCAAGUUUGCAAUAGAUCUAGCAGAAAUUUAAAUGCUUCAUCACAUACUCCCUUUUGUACAACAAAAACAAGAAUAUCUAUCCAUAGACGAGCUUUGCUAAAUUAGAGACUUUAGAUUUGGAACUUAUACUAGAAAGGAAUUCAAAUAUAUUGUUUUCACAGUUGUUAAUUAAAGCUUUAGCAAAGAUCCACCAGCAACAUCUAUUAUGAUCUAUGUUACUCAGACUCAAGUGUGAGUGUCGAAUAUGGGUAUGUAUCUAAAACAGGUAUAAUUAGAUUUUUCUAAGCUUUUCCAUAUAUUUGGAGAAUCUGUGGAGCCCAUAUCCCUAUAUCCAUGUGUCAAACAUAAGUCUCAGGCAGUUUUACUUCAAGAAAAAUCGAGUCCAAGCAACAUAGUCUAUCAUAUUUGUAGCCAUUCAUGAAAUAUGGCUUUAUUACCUUUGUGCCGCUUUUUCAGCUCAGUCAUAUUCACCAAGUUGCUAGCAAGACAUUUUCAUGGACAACAGUAACAAAUGCAGAAAAUACAUAUUAUAGAGAAAUGCUAAUGUCAAUGAAUAAUGUCUGAGACUGGCUAAGAAUGCAAAUAACUUCAAGAUUCCAUGGAAGCAAUACUACGAAGUACUGAGAUCACAAGCCAUGAACUUUUGCUAAUGUUCAUUAAUUGGCAGCAGUCAAGUAGACAGCAGACAAUUUCUUAGCAGUCACUGUAAAGAUGUAAAAUCUGAUUGAGGGUUUAUUCAUAUACAGUGGCAAAUUGACAACAUACUAAAUGCAACUAGAUUUAUGAAACAUAACAUGGGAAGAAACGUGUAUGUGAAGAGUUAGAUUUUAGUCACAACUGUGGUUAUAAGCUAACUCAAUGCUUUCCAUGUUCCAAACUGGCAAAAUUAAAUAGAACAUUGGUUGAAAAAUUAAAAUUCUUUAAAUUCAACUUCAACAUUAUUGUUAUGUUUUGAGUAUUAAGAUGUUUAUUUGAGUAAAUUAUCAUUUAUUCUCAUCCAUCACACAAUGGCUAUUCAGUUGGAAUACCCCACACAAAAGCAGACCAACCAAGGAGCAUCGGCAGACUUAACUUUUGUGUCCAUAAUGAGAAAAGAUCUUCUAUUGUCAUAUCCUUUGAACCAACUGAAAUCUGACAAAAUAGUCUCCAAAGCCCCCACUAGUAAAACCAGUUUAUUUCACCAAAUACAAAGUAAAUCAUUUAGUGUAAUAAUAAUAGUCAAUCAUCAACAUCCUAAGCAAAAAGUUGAAUGCAGAUUUACAUGUUGGAAAGGGCGGUAACAUAUAACAUGGCACACUUCAAAACAAUGAUCUGAAAUAGUUGAAUGUGGUGAUUAAUUGCAUCUUAGCAUACAGAUUUAAUGGACAUGUGAGUGAUUCAUAUGUGCCACCAUAAGAAAGAUUUUCAAGUGUAGCAAUCUGUGACAAAUCAUGCAAAAAUAACUAUAAAAAAAAGUGACAAUCAAAAUAAAGAAAGGAAAAAGUCAAAACUCCUAAUACCCACCAUGCACAUAAACAAUAGCGGAUGGCUCAUAAACAGUGGAGAAGCCAGGGGGGCUGGCAGGGGCCUCGCCCCCCCCUAAAAUUUUCCAUUUAGGCCCCUUUAUAAUUUAUAAAAUUUUAAAUUAGUGAUGGUAAAAUUGCACUUUGCCCUCCUAAAUAAUAAAAAUUUGAUUUAAUCCUUUAAAAAUUAUAAAGAUAUAGGCUAUUCAACGGUGAAAUUGCAUUUUUACUAUUGUAAAACUAUACAAUUUAAUUCUGACCCCCCCCCCCCCCAAAAAAAAUAUUUUUCUGGCUUCGCCCCUGCUCAUAAAGAAUUUCGAGCUCUAGGACUAAAGGACCCACCUCUCCAUUAGGCUACCUGAUGUGAUCUUGACAAAUAAUAGCCAACCCAAAUCUUGUAAUGAUCUCUGUGUUUCUCUCCAGCCAUCUUUAUCUCAGACGAUAGGAGGCACCAACGACCUAAUUUAUCUCACAUUCAUAAACAGUUCAACAUCAAAUUGUUAAGUAGAUCAAACUCCACUCACCAUCUACAACAAGUGACCGAAUUUGGUAUCCUGAAGAGAGCAGAGAUGAAGGUCUACACUUUUCACUUAUGGCAGGUCAAAGUGAUGUUCAAUUCUAUGGGUUGAUUUUUUUUCUCUUGGAUGCAGUUACUAGGUUGGAUGCACCGUAAGUUCCGCCAGAAUAGCAGUGAACCGCUCAAGGAUUUUGCCAUUGGUAAGUGUCAUCUUGCAAUGUAACUUUUUUACGAAGACAUUUAUAUGAGAGAUGUAACUUAAGGGGCAUUCUUUAAUGACUGAUUUUACAUGUCCACAAGAGCCUUUAAAACAUGAAUCCUAAAGAAAUCUGAACAUCAUAGUCUUCAUGUUGCUCACUUUGAUACUGGAUAGGACUUAAGAUGAACUAAAGCAAACUCUAUAAUGAUAAAUACGUAGAAAUGGAAUAAAUAUAAAGCUUUUUUUCCCUUCUAACUCAAUGUUGUCAUUGCUGAAAUGUUAAGCUAGAACUUAUUUUCUAUCUAACCUCACCAUCACUUAUUUUCCAUCUAACCUCACCAUCAUCCAAAAUUUUCUAUUUUAACAUAUUCUUGUAAUUGUCUUACAGGGCAGCCAUCAUUGGAUGACCAACAAUUCUACUCAAAGCCAUACUAUGGCACCACGCCUUUCAGGCAACCCCAGAGUCAUCUUCGGAAGUCUUUUGCUGGUAUAGAAUCAGCACAGGUAGAAGAGGAAGACUAUGAAGAAGAAUCAUCAUCAGCAAUAUCUGAGCUAUUCCAUGGCUUUCUUGCAAUUGGUACCCUUGGUUCGGACCCAAACAUUCCCGACCCAUCAACACCAACAUUUACUAUUUCUGUAGAAAACAUAACUGAAAAAGAAACAGAUGUGACAGAGAAUGAGCUGAAGCUCAUUAAUUAUGAGUUGGAGAGGGUUCUAGGAGCUGAAGCAAAAGAAGAAGGCUGCAACGACUCAUCUGGAAGAAACAGUCAUGUCAGCACUGGAAGAAGCAGUCACGUAAGCACUGGAAGAAGCAGCCAUGGCAGCACAAUUACACUUAGUAGAAAGUCAAUCGAAGGUUUAGAUUCCAAUGGGAAUGGCAAUACAGUUUGUCCACUCCAAGGUUAUCUUUUUGGCUCAGCAAUUGAAUUGUCAGAAACAACUACAGUAGCGAAAAAGGAACACAGGACCUCACUUGGAGAGCUGUUUCAGAGGACUAAACUAACAGAGGAGAGUUUUGGGAGUAAAUAUGACAAGGAGGAGAAGCGAAUGGAGAAGGAAGGAGAUAAAUCUGCAGUGCACAUUAUGAAAAAAAUCUUGAAGAAAAAAAUGCUCAAUGCAUCCAAGAGCUCUGCUGCAGCUACUAGCGGAAAUAUCGAUUCUGCCUCAGCAGAAACAAAACUGCACAAGGUAUGCUGAAACCAAAAAGAAAAAAGAAAAAAAAAAGAACUCAACCAAGAUAAGGACCAAUUUGAAUGGUCUGCAUAUCAAGUAUGCAUUCAUGAUAGUUCCUAUUCUUUUUUCUUUCUUCUGUUGCUUUUUUCUCUAUAUCUUCUUUAUUUCAUGAUUUACAAAUAAUUAAAAAAUGACCGUUGGUUUGAGUUUUAAUCAAUGUGCUUAAGAUUAAUAUUAUAGACAAGGUCAAGUUCCCUAAUUCCCAGAACUGUGGCAUGUAGAUUUUACACAAGUUCCACAGAAAAGUUCAUCCUGAAAGCUCAGCAGCCACAUAUAAGCAUGGCAAGCCCCAAAAGAAUGAGAACAAGAAAAGCAUUGGUUAUAAUGGAGGUCAAGAGAAUGGAGUUCCGAUCCUUGCGGAGGAAGACAUAGUGAUAUUUCCUCAAAGAGCCCUUUCAAAGGACAUGCGACGUUACAAUAGCCAAGCAAAUCCAUCUCAAUUCACACUUAGCUGCAAUGAUUCGAAUGGGAACAGGGAGUGCUGGAUCAAAACAGAUGCAGACUGUAAGUAUACAAGCAUUUAACAUUUUCAGUAUCCAUAAGAAACCCUGUUCAUGGACUGCCUAUAAUUCAUUGUUGAAAUCUCAUACUUGUCUAAUUUUGUUGUUUGUUUCUUGAUUUCUUUCUAAGAAUAUUUGGUUUUUUUUUUUUUUUCUGAUAAUUACUUUCCAUUAUAGAGAUCCUAAUAUGGAUGCCUAUAGCCAUGCAAUAAAACCUAGUGGCGACUUAUAGUUCUAAUGUCUUUUUAUCCUUCUAGCAUAAUGACCCUACAGUGAGCAUAGUGUCAGUCGAUGAGUCAUGACAUUUUUUGCACAUGGUGGAAUUGAAUACCAAAAAGGCAUAUGCUUAAGUCGAUUGUUUGCAACUGUUGCACAUAUAUACCAGUGUGGGACUAUUUCGAGUUAUCAAAAUAGAUUCCUAAUUCGUAAAAUGGUUUGUGUUCGCAGAUCUGGUGUUGGAGCUCUAAAAGGCAGAAGCAAACUUCAUAAUGCGGUUUCCCAAUUAUCAUUCCCAGUUACUAAGAAUGAAAAUGAAUGGAGUUUCCCUGUGUUUGUCAGAUUUUCUAUUAUUAGUAGUAGUAAUUAUUGAACUGGUGUUUCCGCGUGGCUAUUUUACAAAACAGCUUGACCAGCAACCUAUAUGUGAGAAUGCAUAAUGUAAAAUUGUAAGACAUUUAUCAUUUUCCUUCCAAACAAUAUCUCAAUUACUAUUGAAGUUAAGUUACUACGAAUUCUCUGUAUUAUAUAAGAUAAACCGGAUACCUUUGAAGCAACUUGGCUCCUCUAAACUCACUAGGAUCUUAGUAAUUUUCUUACUUAUCCCAAAAUUUUACAAUUUGAUCCUAUUUUAUUCCGGUUCCUGAUAUAAAUUUCUUGGCGGCGCCUCCAACAGAAUAUUCUUGGACACCUUACCUUGAGGCAAAACACAUCAUCUAACAGCAGACAACCAGAAAUCUACAAACAAACGUGAACCAGUCUACUUUUUUUUUCUUUUUUCCUCAUAACAUUUCCUACAUAAAGUACUGCAAAUUCAACCAAUCCAAAAAUAGUGGUGGGAAAUAAUUCAGCAAGAGUAGUCAGAAACAAAAAUUCCAUUUUUCCUUUUGCUUUUACGAUAAUAUAAGAAAAUAAAAAAUUGUGGGUUCCAGAAAAAAUAGAAGGAAAAAAAAAACUUAGCCUCACAAAAAAUGUAUAUGCCAUUUAGUUGGCAUUAAGUCAAGUUUUAAUGGCCAAGAAAUGGGAAUUUUAGAAAUAAAGAAAAACACGGAGAAACAAACAGAGGGCAAACCACACAAGUCUUUGCAAUUAUAAGUUUAUCAACAAUGGUGAUUGCCAGCCUAAUGAAAUUCAUUGAAAACGCCAACUAGAAACAGCCGAGGAAGGAAAAUUUUGCAUGUAAGAAAAGAAAGAAAGGGUUCACAUUCUAUGUAAAGUGGGAUUUCUAUGAAAUUUCUGGAACAUUGAAUGAAAGGAAAAGGUGGGUUACCUGGAAAGAAAGGAUUGAGUGGCCAUUGUUUCUGGUUCGCUUCCUUCUAUGUCUUGUUUCCUUGUCGUUUGUUGUAUUUGUAAUAAAAAUGGUCAGUUUUCCAUGAAUUGAAAGUCUCCUGGAAGCUUUCCUUUGUCACAGAGAAGAAAAAAAAGGGUAGUUCUUUGCUACAGCUCCCCAUUAAAAUAUAACAAAAAAAAUCUGCA